rnacentral:rRNA from 1 species
GGAAACUGAGGCUAAUACCGGAUAGGCAAUUUUUCCUGUAAUGGUUUUUUGUUUAAAUGUUUUUUCGCCUAAGGAUGGGUCUGCGGCCGAUUAGGUAGUUGGUUAGGUAAUGGCUUACCAAGCCGUUGAUCGGUACGGGUUGUGAGAGCAAGAGCCCGGAGAUGGAACCUGAGACAAGGUUCCAGGCCCUACGGGGUGCAGCAGGCGCGAAACCUCCGCAAUGUGAGAAAUCGCGACGGGGGGAUCCCAAGUGCCAUUCUUAACGGGAUGGCUUUUCAUUAGUGUAAAGAGCUUUUGGAAUAAGAGCUGGGCAAGACCGGUGCCAGCCGCCGCGGUAACACCGGCAGCUCUAGUGGUAGCAAUUUUUAUUGGGCCUAAAGCGUCCGUAGCCGGUUUAAUAAGUCUCUGGUGAAAUCCUGUAGCUUAACUGUGGGAAUUGCUGGAGAUACUAUUAGACUUGAGACCGGGAGAGGUUGGAGGUACUCCCAGGGUAGAGGUGAAAUUCUGUAAUCCUGGGAGGACCGCCUGUUGCGAAGGCGUCUAACUGGAACGGUUCUGACGGUGAGGGACGAAAGUUAGGGGCGCGAACCGGAUUAGAUACCCGGGUAGUCCUAACUGUAAACGAUGCGGACUUGGUGUUGGGGUGGCUUUGAGCUGCUCCAGUGCCGAAGGGAAGCUGUUAAGUCCGCCGCCUGGGAAGUACGGUCGCAAGACUGAAACUUAA